rnacentral:misc_RNA from 1 species
UGACGAUUUUCAGGUUGUGAAAAGUGAAAUACAGCCAAUGAGAAGAUCCGUUUCAAUGGAUUCUUUAACAGCUGCAUCUAAGUAUCUUGGUCUGACCAAUACUCCCGCAGUUGAAUUGGAGGANNNNNCGGUUAAUCAGAUAGAAAACAGUGAGCAAACCUAUUCAGGUAUUGUUUCGAAGCAAAGUGCAUUUAAGCAAAUGGGCAGUUCUUCCAUCACACAACAUCUGCACAAACAUCCGGUUGCUAUGAAAAGAUCAUUUUCAUGCGGUGGGAGGUUUUUCCAAUCGGGACAAAACCGAAACCUGAAUUCAAUUCUACCCUUGUAAAGACUU